GUCCAUCCAGCUGGAAAAUUUGGUAAGACAGGGACAGGAUGAGACUGACAGGCCUGACUGAAUAACAAAGCCCCGUGGACUGUGAUUGGUAAAGGAGACUGAGGUUCCCUGGCCUGAGAGAAGUGAAGAUCCAGCCAUGAGAGGAGCUAGCCAGUGAAUCUGGCCCAUCUCAGUGAUAUUAAGCUUGAGGGCCAUUGUGAAUUGAAUUUCAUCUCUGGGAACUGAGAGGACCCUGGAUGAAGCAACUUAUUGUGUUUAAGGAACUUUGGUGAUGGCUGAAAACUGGAUACCAAUUUUCACAAAGUGGAUCAAUGUGGAUGCCCCAGAUAAUAGUCACUGCAGUACAGAACUUGAGCAACCUUCUAGAAUGGGUUACUAAAGAAGAUGCUAGUGCCUGGAAAGGGAGAUUUUGAGAGCCAAGUUGGAUUGGACCAUCCUCACUCUCUUUCCUCACAGGUUUAAUUGACUUGACCAUGAAUCAAUAAGGAAUGCUGUAGACAUAGUGGGCCUGGAUUUCAUGAGGCAGUUGAAAAUGUUUCCCAUGAGAUCCUCAUGGGAACUAAAUAAUAUGGCCUGAGGGAUAAGGAGAUUUA
rnacentral:lncRNA from 1 species